GCUUUUUUAGUUUAUGAGGAAUGAGGCAUUGAAAAUGCUUAGGAGUAGAGAAAAGCA
rnacentral:tRNA from 1 species